ACGAUCAGUAGCUGGUCUGAGAGUGACGAUCAGCCACACUGGGACUGAGACACGGCCCAGACUCCUACGGGAGGCAGCAGUGGGGAAUUUUCCGCAAUGGGCGAAAGCCUGACGGAGCAAUACCGCGUGAGGGAGGAAGGCUCUUGGGUCGUAAUACCUCUUUUCUCAGGGAAGUAACACAAUGACGGUACCUCCCCUUGA
rnacentral:rRNA from 1 species